rnacentral:sRNA from 1 species
AUAAAAACCGAGAAACAGUUUUCUUUUCAAGAUUUCGCACACGGUUGGUAAAGCCUAUGUUUAUAUUAAAUUGCAGAUUGACAAAGCACGUGCUUAUCGAUAUCGAUGUUUUUUUUUUUAUCCAGGCAGGGCUACAAACCUAAUCGAACUAGGAGUUCUAUGGAUGCGAUAAAAGUUCGAUUGAAAAUCAAAUCGAUA